rnacentral:rRNA from 1 species
CCCUUAGAUGAUUUGGGCUGCACGCGCGCUACACUGACCCUAACAAUGAGCAACUGUCUGGCCUGAGAUGGCUGGGUAGCCUUUUCAACUCAUGUCAUGAUUGGGCUAGAUUUUUGUAAGUCUUGAUCUCUAACGAGGAAUCCCUAGUAUGCGUGAAUCAUCAAUCCAUGCAGAUUAUGUCCCUGCCCUUUGUACACACCGCCCGUCGCUCCUACCGAUUGAGUGUUCCGGUGAGGCUUUGGGAGAAUGGCCUCAACAUGAGUUUAUCGUGUUUUGCCGUUUGAACUUAGUCAAACCUUAUCACUUAGAGGAAGGAGAAGUCGUAACA